rnacentral:rRNA from 1 species
GACGAGGGGUCCUAGCGUUGUUCGGAAUCAUUGGGCGUAAAGCGUGUGUAGGUGGCUAUUCAAGUCAGUUGUGAAAUCCCCGGGCUCAACCCGGGAAGUGCUUCUGAUACUGUUUAGCUUGAGUACUGGAGAGGAUAGUAGAAUUCCUGGUGUAGUGGUGAAAUACGUAGAUAUCAGGAGGAAUACCGGUGACGAAGGCGGCUAUCUGGCCAUGUACUGACGCUGAGACACGAAAGCGUGGGGAGCAAACAGG